rnacentral:rRNA from 1 species
UGAACGCUGGCGGCAGGCCUAACACAUGCAAGUCGAACGGUAACAGGAAGCAGCUUGCUGCUUYGCUGACGAGUGGCGGACGGGUGAGUAAUGUCUGGGAAACUGCCUGAUGGAGGGGGAUAACUACUGGAAACGGUGGCUAAUACCGCAUAACGUCGCAAGACCAAAGAGGGGGACCUUCGGGCCUCUUGCCAUCAGAUGUGCCCAGAUGGGAUUAGCUUGUUGGUGAGGUAACGGCUCACCAAGGCGACGAUCCCUAGCUGGUCUGAGAGGAUGACCAGCCACACUGGAACUGAGACACGGUCCAGACUCCUACGGGAGGCAGCAGUGGGGAAUAUUGCACAAUGGGCGCAAGCCUGAUGCAGCCAUGCCGCGUGUAUGAAGAAGGCCUUCGGGUUGUAAAGUACUUUCAGCGGGGAGGAAGGUGUUGUGGUUAAUAACCRCAGCAAUUGACGUUACCCGCAGAAGAAGCACCGGCUAA